UAUACGCUCGUAACCUUCUUCCCCAAAAGAAAAAAAAAACAACGCUCUCUUCACCUUUCUAGACGCCCAGAACUCCGUUCUCUACCAUCGUUGCCCACCUUCUCCCUCAUACUAAUCUCUACAAUAGCUGCACCAUCGCCUAUGGCUACCAAGACGUCCUCUCCCAUCAAUUCGUCAGACCUGAGCCAACUAGUUAGCUUCCUCCUCAGACGCUCCAAGCUACUCUCCCAUGGCCACCCCACGUGAUUCCUCAUCCCCUUCAUCAGAAAUGGCUCUGGGCCGCCAAAAAAUGGUACAUUAGUCACUCAACCCUCUCAAAUCGAUCAGAAAAGGUCAAUUCUUCAGAGAUUUUUCUUCUGCCUCAUUAUUAUUUUCUCUGUUCUUUCUCAAACUUGGCUUCCCAAGAAUUCAAUAAUUUUGAAUUCUAGGUCAAUAGAGGUUAUGAUUUUUGCUAUAAAAGGGUACCAUUUGAUCCUUAGAAGGGAAAAAAAUAUACAAAAAUCAUCCAUAAAUAUCCAGAAUCCAUUAAGAUCGAUCUACAUCGAUGAACAUCCAAAAAACAAAUCUAAAAAUCGUCUGAGAAAUAGAUUUUAAGGUUAUCUUUUGUUUUCUGCUUCCGUUCUUCUUCGAGUCGUUGUUCGAGUUCAAAGUCGAAUCUUGACGUCAAAACCCUUGUUUGAUGCUCCACAAAAGGAUUGAUAUGGAUAGUGAUUUUGCCUGAAGAAUAUCCUUAAUCUAAAAAAUGCAUUAGCAAGUUCAAUAAUUAUCUGAUUUGUUAGCUAGCAAUUUGAUAUGCUUCGUGUAAUUGUGUUGUUCACAUUUUUCAAAGUAGAAUAAAUGUUAUCUCUCUUGCGUCUAAAUUCUUGAAUCUUGAUUAAGUUGCGGAAUUUUCCGUUUCCCUCUGAUUUACAUUAAAUUAAUGAAAAGUGUGGGACAUCUAAUACUUUGGUAUGAAUUAUAACACAAGUCUUUCUGUGAGUGAUAGCUUGUUUUCAGUUAAGGCGUGCCAAAAAUUAAUAUGAUGAAGUGGGUUGUGAAAUAUUCCUUGUCUAGUUUUAAUUGUAGCUGUUCUUAUUGUUUCAUUCAAAUAACUGCCUAUGCUUAGUUCUUUAGCAUUUUAUGAACAUGCGAACAUUAGUUGGGUGUUAUAUAAUGUGUUUAUGAUCGUAAUGUGCUAAUAUCUUUAUUUGGUUUCACUAGAAUUUGUUUAGUUUGGUUGUUCUGCUCGUUAUUAGUAUGGUUUUCCUAUUAUUUAGUCCAUAAGAUAUGCAAUAGUCAUCAAUGUACGAUGUCCUGUUGUUAGCCCCAUUGUCUUUCAAAAGAAAUCUCAAAACCCCUUAGAGACUCCAUCUAGCAUUCCCUUAACACGAGUUGUAUAGAUUACUUCUUGAAGAUUGUAGUCCUAUCUAAAUGAAUCCAUUUGGCUUUGAACUUGUCUGUUAGGAUCUUGUAGUGCUGGAAUUUUUGUCAAGUCGAAUAUGUCCAUUGUGUUAAUAAAUCGUCGUUCGUCUAAGUCUCCAUAACAGCAUGCAUAUUUUCAUUUGAUAGUUGUCUAUUGUAAAAUCCUAACCUAUCUUGUUUUUUUCUACAUUGGUUAAAUUUAGAAACUUUAAAUAUUUUCCCUCUUUCCAUUGUGACUAGAAGCAUUCUCUGUUGCAUAAUACUUAGAAUCUGAUGUAGUCAAAGUUAGCUUCCCCUCUAUUGAUGGUCUAAGUUAUUUUUCGUUUUAGUAUCGUACAACAUUUUAUGAACUUGUCUUGGGCACUACUAUCCUCAUAGUUGUUGAUUUCAGCCAUCGUAUGAGAACCCGAGUUAGACUUGGGUUCUUCAACUACAAUUUUUUUCUUUAUUGAAGAUCUUGAAAUUUCUUCAGCCUUUCUUUUCUUAUUUUUAGAAGGCUUAGGAACAGAUCGUUUAACAAACCCACCUCUAGUUUUAGCCAUAACCAGAGUAAACCUAUAAUAAAACAUGCAAAAUAAAUAACAGAUACAACAUAACUCAACAAUGCGAUUGACAGAAAACGUCACUAAAGUCGAUCAAAGUUUAGGGGAUUGUAAUACCCCAUAAUUUUAGUUAAGGGUAAAUGAGUCUUUAGUUAAAAAAAAAGGAAAAGAAAAGAGAUUGGGCUAAAAGCCCUAGGCAGCCACACUGCAUUUUUUAGCAUAGAGAAAUGAAGAAAAAAAAUAGUUUCCUUCCUAAGUUCAUCAUUGUUGUCGGUUCUCACUUGUUAGUUAUUUGUGUGAGUAGUAAUGGUGAAAAAGGAAAAGCAAAUGCAAGAACAAGCCAACAUCCUCAAGUUCCAUAUCACUGGAGAAAUUUGUUUCCACCAUGACAAUUUAAUAGAUUUGGAAGAGAGAAGGAGCGAGGAAGAGAAUUGAUAAGCUUGGAUUCUUAAAUAAAGAGAGAAGCGGAAGAGGAAGAUUAACCAUAGGGAUUCAUACGGAUACUCAAGUGGCGAGCUUGGUAUUUUCAGCACAAGUAAUGUGAGUAGUAAUCUUACCACAAUUGAUGUUUUAUAAAUUGCAUGAUUUUCACAUGGUUUAUAAAGUAAAUGUGUUACUGAACGUUUUGAACUUGCCUGUGGGACAAGUCUCUUACUGGAUAUGAUACUGAAAAGAUUAUUUAAUUUGAGAUGGUCUUAUUUUUUACAAGAUAUGAUUUCUGUUAUUUAAAAGGUUUUACACUUAUUUGAGAAAUAGUAUUUUGACAGAUGAUGGUUGAACUUUGAAAUGAUAUGAUUUGAUCUGUUUGAUUUUGAAAUGCUUUAAGUGAUUACAAGAAGAAUAUGAUGGGAGUAGACCUUGAUGAAUCCCGUAGCUGACGGCGGGAUCGUUAGACGUGGUGCACCUUGUAGUUACUGAUUUCUGAUAAAGCCCUUGCUAGUGGGAUGUGGAACUAGUAUUCUGUUACUGAUAUCCCUCGAGUAUAGAUCUACUGAUAUGAAUAUUUAACUCCAUUACGAGGAUUUCACUAUUAUUGAUUACUUCUUAAAGAGAAGACCACUCUAAUUACAUGUAACAUCCUUGGAAACCUCCUAGAAAUAAGAUUUUAUAUGAAAAUGUUCUUUUAUUGAUUUUGCUAUUAUGUAUUUACACUGAUUAUGCUUAUAUGAGGCAUAUAAGAUUGAAAGAUCAUUAUUUCAUCAUUAUGACUAUUA